rnacentral:rRNA from 1 species
UGGGGAAUAUUGGACAAUGGGGGCAACCCUGAUCCAGCAAUGCCGCGUGUGUGAAGAAGGCCUUCGGGUUGUAAAGCACUUUCAGCAGGGAGGAAGAGAUGACGGUUAAUACCCGUUGUUGUGACGUUACCUGCAGAAGAAGCACCGGCUAACUCCGUGCCAGCAGCCGCGGUAAUACGGAGGGUGCGAGCGUUAUUCGGAAUUACUGGGCGUAAAGCGCACGCAGGCGGCUAUUUAAGUCAGAUGUGAAAGCCCCGGGCUUAACCUGGGAAUUGCAUUUGAAACUGGGUAGCUAGAGUAUGUUAGAGGAAGGCGGAAUUUCCAGUGUAGCAGUGAAAUGCGUAGAUAUUGGAAGGAACACCGAUGGCGAAGGCAGCCUUCUGGGGCAAUACUGACGCUCAUGUGCGAAAGCGUGGGUAGCAAACA